rnacentral:lncRNA from 1 species
GUCCGACUGCUAUACUAUCGAUAGCACCAAGCACUUGGUGCUAUCAAGUUUUCUGCCGUUAGAUUAACCCUUUUGAUUAUUUUUACCCGUUAGAUUAUACUAUUCAACCAACCACCCACUCAGCCCUAGGGGGCCCACAUCAUCCUAACCGCACAUCUUUUAAUCCAAGGGCGGAAGACUUAAUAGCACCAAGUCAUUGGUGCUAUUAAUAGUAUUCCAGCCUAGUUCUAU